rnacentral:rRNA from 1 species
GUACACACCGCCCGUCACACCAUGGGAGUUGGUUUUACCCGAGGACGGUGCGCUAACCGCAAGGAGGCAGCCGGCCACGGUAAGGUCAGCGACUGGGGUGAAGUCGUAACAAGGUUUCCGUAGGUGAACCUGCAGAAGGAUCA